rnacentral:rRNA from 1 species
GGUGCAAUAGAGAAAGGGACAGGGGACACAGGAAGAGGAAGGGAAAGGGACACAGGAAAAAGAAAAGAGGGUUAGAAGGGGCCGACGGUACUUUCAAACUGGGCCGCUAGAGGAGGUCGCUCAGGGGAAGAAGAAGAGGCCGCUCGUGGGAGCUUCGGCUGGGGGCUCGGUUACAGGAGGUGAGCUAAAAGGACGACAGUUGACGUAGAGGAUAACGAAGUACCGCGGGCUUCGAUGUUUCCCGUACCGGCCGCUUCGACGCAGGUACUAGCCUCGACGCAGGUCCCGGCCACUUCAACGAAGGUACCAGCCUCGACGCAGGUACCGGCCGCGGUGCGUUAUGAUACUACGACACUGUCCUCCGGUGAGGGGACCGGUACCUAGAAAACAACAACGACCUUUGUCAUUUAAAAAAACGAUGGUGGCCCAACUAAAAAACGACCUUGAUCAUAAGUAAGAACAAUGGUGACAGAGACAAAAACAACCUUCGUUGUGUAAAAACGAUGGUGGCAUAAACUCAAAACGACUUUGCUCGCGAAUCAAAACGAUGUUGGCGGAAAAACUCAAAACGAUCUUGGUCGCUGGUGAGGGGCCGGUGCGACGGGUUUACACGAUGCUGGCCCCUGGUUGCCACGAUGUUGGCCAUUCGUUUAAACGAUGUAGGAAAAAAAAUACUGAAUCGACGCUGGGGGCUGCUGCCACUGCUUCAAAACGACGUAGACAGCAGGAAAAACGAUGCUGGCUACACUGCAAAACGACGUUGGUAAGUACUCACUGCUGCUGCGGCGCGGGACUCGGCGCUGCCGCUGCUGUGAAAACGACGUAGCUAGAAGUAAAAAAAGAUAGUGGCCGCAACUGCAAACGAGAUUGCAACCGAACAGUAACCUCCACCUCGACGUUUGUAAAAAAACCUUCCACCUCGACGACCUGCCACGAAGGAUGUUGUCGUUACCGCUGCCUAGUCCAUGGUCAUGUCGGUGCUGGAGGUGAAAAAAACGACACGAAGGUACCCGCACCCUUCCCUUCGAAGCGACCCUCUUAGCAAAGGCUACCCCCUUCUUCUAUUCCGGACUUGCCAACCUAGCCCGGUUCGGCUGCUGCUCGACGCCGGCAGCGGUGGCGUCGACAACGUACGCACCACAACCGGUUUUUACGUCCGCUGCUCACGCCGCUGGCCGCUGCUCCUACCGGCCGCUCCCGCUAUUGGCCGCUGCUCCUCCCGGCCGUUGGUACCGCUGGUCGUUCUCGCACGCCGGUCGGUCUACGCCUUAGUUCGCUGAUAUACGUCUUAGGUAGCAUCCCCGCACGCAACUGCUUUGUUGUCGACAUAGCUUGCCAAUAUGUACGUGGUUAGCCUACCAACGCCCGCCGGCCAGGCGGCCGCGGAUAGUGGGCGGAAGGAUAUGAAGCGGGUUGAGUGGGAAUGGGCCUGCGCCCGGGGCCAGAGAGUCAGCGGUGCCUUUAGUCCAGUCGAGCCGUCUAGGUCUCCUCUGCCUGCCGCUCGAGGGCUGCCGCUGGGGGCUGGCCAAGGGACAAACGUAGGCGAGCAGCAGCACGCGGCACACGGCGCCGGGCAAGCGGUUCCGGUACAAGCUCAAGGAUUUGACGUAGGCCUACGUGGUUCCUCUGUUCUUACCGUUUUUGUCACUUGACUUCAUACUGCGGGUUACACCGUACUCGUUUCCACACAAGCUUACCGUUACGGCAGUCAAACUCUUCCAUAGAUCAGCUUGUGGACUCAACUACGCGUUCUACUCCCGGUUACGUGUCUUCUACGCACAGGUGAAGUUCCUGUGACUUCUAGAGUUUUGCACCCUACGAAUACUUUCUUUACAAGAGAUACGUACACUUGUAAUGGAGUUUUGGAGAGAACGUUGUGGACGUCAAUGGGGCUUAAGACAAAACAUACUCCUAAAUUACUUCUCUUUUCGUAUAAGCUUCUGAGCAUCACCCGACGAUAGCUACCCUGACUUGUUCAAGUUUAUGACAUGUUCCUCGAAUUCCGAUCAGCGACGCCCACGACGAUAACCUGAACGACAACCUGAACCGCAACCGACCUUCGUUGUCUUCUAAUUCAUCGGUUCAUAGCGACAAUGACAUGGGUACCCAAUGUACUCAACUGUAAACUACAUUAUUUCAAUCUAGGAUCGCACUUAUGAUCCACAGUGAAUUAAUACAAUCGACGCUUGUCUCCUACAUUCUACACACAAUCGACCCUUGGCUCCUACCUUCUACUCCAUCAACUCUGCAUGAACAAGAGUCAAUAAAAUCGAGGCGCUCAUCGUAGAAUGAAAUAAAAUCUUGUGUACCGUUGCGUGGCUGCAAGAUCAAUACAACUAACAUUGACCGAAUUUUCACGCCCUGUCCUUAACAACACUCUUUAAUUAAUAAAAACGUACGAACAAAACGACAACUGGGGUACCCAGUAUGGCGGUGAGGUGCAGCCGUUACCUUUGUAGGUUCCGCAGACCGUGCUGGCCCACGUCAUCAUGGUCUCUCGUUGUCUUUGAGGUUGCAGUUCUGUUGCAGGUUAUGUUCGGUCUUUGAUCAUAUUGCGGGCACGCAACGGUGCCCGGACAUUAAGUAGUGCACC